AUUGAACGCUGGCGGCAGGCCUAACACAUGCAAGUCGAACGAGUGGCGUACGUGUGAGUAAUGUCUGGGAAACUGCCUGAUGGAGGGGGAUAACUACUGGUAACGGUAGCUAAUACCGCAUACCAUCGGAUGUGCCCAGAUGGGAGUAGCGAGUAGGUGGGGUAAAGGCUCACCAAGGCGACGAUCCGUAGCUGGUCUGAGAGGAUGACCAGGCACACUGGGACUGAGACACGGCCCAGACUCCUACGGGAGGCAGCAGGGGGGAAUAUUGGACAAUGGGAGAAAGCCUGAUGCAGCCAUGCCGCGUGGGUGAAGAAGGCCUUCGGGUUGUAAAGCACUUUUGGCAGGAAAGCGGUACCCGCAGAAGAAGCACCGGCUAGCUACGGGCCAGCAGCCGCGGUAAUAC
rnacentral:rRNA from 1 species